ACCUGUGUGGAUGUGUCUGUGGGCACAGCCCUGAGUCCAGGCUCUUGUUCCCUGAGGGUUGUGACUCAACUGCACAUGGUGACCCAGGAGCCCACAGGCCAGCUGUGUCUUUUCAGCUUCCACCAACCUGACAAGCCAAAUAGACAGUGUUGGGUGCAAAUAUUCUCUCACAGACCGUGCCUGGAAGACUGUGAGGCCAGGUGACCUUGGAAGGCCACAAAGCAGUAGCAGUUCCUAUCCAACAGCGGUGGCCAUGGAGCCAAGGCCCCUCAACCUCUUUGCUGAUGCUUCCUGGAACCUCAGAGGAUCCUGGUCAGCAGAACACAGGCAUCGCAGUCUUAACCCGCGGACAUGGUGCACGGCUGCCACCUGGCGGCCGCCUGGCCAGAAACACACAGAUCCAACAGGCCUCCCUUCGGAAUCCUUGCUGACUGUCCCAGGUGAGCUCACACCUGCUUUCCCAUUUCCCACACUGGGUAUCACACCACCUUGUGAUAGAAAAAAAUCUACAGAGUUGUUUGUUAGGAGAAAGAAUUCAAACGAGCCUGUCUAUCAAGAGUCCGGGAAGUCCCCUCAAAGGCAUGUGGGGUGUUUUCCACUUAGUAUCGGCUUUCCUGAAGAUUCCUGGGAGAAAUGGAGACUAGAUGCCACUCAGAGCAGCAGGAGCUGGUCAACCCUGAAGAAUCUGUGACCAUGGCAUAAACCUUCAGUAGCCACCCAAGAAGUCACAAGGUGCAGGAGCAGAGAUGUGGAUCCUGGGGACCUGCUGGGGUAUAGCAGUCCUGGCCCCUUGAGAUCCCCUCGACCACCGCUUGCUUAGAGGUAAAGAGCUAGGCUAUGAGCUGACAGGAACUAGGUAUUUCUGGGCCCCAUUCUGGGGCUGUUUGGUUCAUUCCUCCUUGGACGCCUCAGAAGUUGCACACCUGCCUCUAAGCAUCUCGGAUAUUCCCCCAACUCUCCAGAAGCCUCGCAUGAGCAACUUAAUACAGACACCUGCCAGACGAUCAGCAGAAAUCCCCACCACAUGGCCUGGCCUAGCUCAAAAGGAAAGUCCCUCACCAUGUGACUUCCCCAACGGCAUUGUGGGGUGUGGGGAGUGUCCCCACCAGCCUUUAAGGGGCAGAUGGCCAUCUUGUGCUCCAGGGGUGACACGCUGGGGACAUCAUCUGUGCAGUGCCAUUCUGAGGGCAGACAGCCUAGUCUAACCCUUUCAGUUGACUCAGUGACUGUCUCCAGCAGCCCCAGGCAAUCCCCUUCGAGCCUUGGGGGUUGGGGGUUCAGCUUGGUUGCAGGUGGGUUUUGACCUAACUGCAGAAAAGAACUUUGCCCACUAGUUGUUCCAGCACACUGUGAUGAGUGGACAGCCAUCUGAGAACGUCACCUUUCAAUUCAGUGCAGCUGGGCCAGCAAUCUUCUCCACGGAGUGCUGUCCUCAACCUUGUCCAGAGAAGCUUCUCUGCAGUGAGCAGCAGUAAUGCAGAGCAAUGCAGCAGUAAUGCAGAGACUCCUAACUGGUCAGAGUGCUGACAGCAAGUGACUGUGGAGUGAUCAGCCCCAACUGGAGCAUCUGUAUCAAGCCCAUCCGGUGGCCCAGGGAACAUCAAGGCAGAACAAGUGCAGGAGUUGGGGAUGGGGAGGUGUGUUAUGGAGCGCUGCGUUCUUGACCAGACACAGCCACUGUGCUCAGGGAGUCACGGCAGCCCAUAACCAAGCCAGUAAGAUCAGUCUUCAUUCCGAAAGGCAGCACUGACUGGACUCAGUUACAAAAAUGAAAGGAAAAAAAAAGUGGAGGAGGGGCAUGCAGGGGCAGGGUGCAGGACAGGGGGUGGGGAUGGGUAUAAUUGAGAUACAUUACAAACAUAUGAGAUUGUAAAGAAUAAAUAAAAGUCUAUAAAAGUAAA